UUGGUAGUAGCCAAGUGAUGGGGUGACGCAGUGAGGUAGCUGAGCCAUUUAUUGGAUUGUGGUGUAAGCGUGUGGCCCGUGGCAUAGGUAAAUCCGUGUUACAUAGUGGGUGAGGCGUGAUGCGUAGACCUUUGUGGUUGAUGUUGGUGAUCCUGUACUGUCGAGAAAAGCCUCUAGCGAGUGCAUAUAUGGCCCGUACCCAUA
rnacentral:rRNA from 1 species